rnacentral:rRNA from 1 species
UACGUAGAGUGCAAGCGUUGUCCGGAAUUAUUGGGCGUAAAGGGCAUGUAGGCGGUCAGUUAAGUCUGGUGUGAAAGCCCGGGGCUCAACC